rnacentral:rRNA from 1 species
AUUGAACGCUGGCGGCAUGCCUAACACAUGCAAGUCGAACGGUAGCAGGUCCUUCGGGAUGCUGACGAGUGGCGGACGGGUGCGUAACGCGUGGGAAUCUGCCCAAUAGUGGGGGAUAACCCGGGGAAACCCGGGCUAAUACCGCAUACUCCCUACGGGGGAAAGCGGGGGACCGCAAGGCCUCGCGCUAUUGGACGAGCCCGCGUCCGAUUAGCUUGUUGGUGGGGUAAAAGCCUACCAAGGCGACGAUCGGUAGCUGGUCUGAGAGGACGACCAGCCACACUGGGACUGAGACACGGCCCAGACUCCUACGGGAGGCAGCAGUGGGGAAUAUUGGACAAUGGGGGAAACCCUGAUCCAGCAAUGCCGCGUGUGUGAAGAAGGCCUGCGGGUUGUAAAGCACUUUCGGCAGGAAAGAAAAGCCAUGCGCUAAUACCGCAUGACCUUGACGUUACCUGCAAAAGAAGCACCGGCUAACUCCGUG